UACGGAGGGAGCUAGCGUUGUUCGGAAUUACUGGGCGUAAAGCGCACGUAGGCGGCUUUGUAAGUUAGAGGUGAAAGCCUGGAGCUCAACUCCAGAAUUGCCUUUGAUACUGCAUGGCUUGAAUCCAGGAGAGGUGAGUGGAAUUCCGAGUGUAGAGGUGAAAUUCGUAGAUAUUCGGAAGAACACCAGUGGCGAAGGCGGCUCACUGGAGCUGGUAUUGACGCUGAGGUGCGAAAGCGUGGGGAGCCGA
rnacentral:rRNA from 1 species